GAACCGUACAAACGUUAUUCGGAAUCACUGGGCUUAAAGGGUGCGUAGGCGGCGGCGCAAGUUGGGUGUGAAAUCCCUCGGCUCAACCGAGGAAUGGCGCCCAAAACUGCGUGGCUCGAGGGAGACAGAGGUGAGCGGAACUUGCGGUGGAGCGGUGAAAUGCGUUGAUAUCGCAAGGAACACCAGUGGCGAAGGCGGCUCACUGGGUCUCUUCUGACGCUGAGGCACGAAAGCUAGGGGAGCGAACGGGGGAUUAGAUACCCCGGUAGUCCUAGCUGUAAACGAUGAGCACUGGGUCGGAGGAUCCUCCAUAGUUUUCCGGCCGCAGCGAAAGUGUUAAGUGCUCCGCCUGGGGAGUAUGGUCGCAAGGCUG
rnacentral:rRNA from 1 species